GAUGGAGAGACUGAGGUCCUUGGAAGGGAAAUGACUUGCCUAAGGUCUCAGAGUUAGCAAGUGAAGAGCUGGAAGGAUUUGGAGCUUGGAGGGUGUUCAAUAAAUGUUAAAUGAUUAACCAAAGAAGAUCAUUUAAGGGGAAAAAAAGGAAGAAAGGAAGAAAAGAGAGAUGUGAUGGAGCUAUCCCUAAAGUCGUAGCAUCUAUAUGAAUCCCAAGCCAGCUCCUUGGAGAGAUCAUUAUCAAGGAACCUUUGAAGGGUCUUUGAAUCUCAACUCUGCUGCUGCUCACUAGCUGUGCACCCUUGGACCAGUCUCUUGCCUGUUGGACCCUCACUCUGCUCAUGUGUAAAAUGGGGGCUUGGAUGAGUUGACCUCAAAGGUUUCUUUUAGCUUGGAGCCUAUGAGCUCCAAGGGGGAAUGCACCAUGAAUGGGGGUGGGGGGUUGGAUUACCGGCUUGAAAUGUCUUUCUGCAAAGGAAUUUGCUGAAAGGAGAAUAAUUGAUUUUUUUUUCAUCAGAAUUGGCUCGGCUCCAUUUCACCAUUGGAGGGGAAGAAUAAAAGCAAAU